rnacentral:rRNA from 1 species
UACAGAGGUCUCAAGCGUUGUUCGGAUUCAUUGGGCGUAAAGGGCGCGUAGGCGGCGAGGUAAGUCGGGUGUGAAAUCUCAGAGCUCAACUCUGAAACUGCACUCGAUACUGCUUUGCUAGAGGACUGGAGAGGUGAGUGGAACUGCGAGUGUAGAGGUGAAAUUCGUAGAUAUUCGCAAGAACACCAGUGGCGAAGGCGGCUCACUGGCCCGGUACUGACGCUGAGGUGCGAAAGCGUGGGGAGCAAACAGG